CCUACGGGUGGCAGCAGUGAGGAAUAUUGGUCAAUGGGCGGAAGCCUGAACCAGCCAAGUCGCGUGAGGGAUUAAGGCCCUGCGGGUCGUAAACCUCUUUUGUCGGGGAGCAGUGGUCCGGACGCGUCCGGUCUGGGAGAGUACCCGGAGAAAAAGCAUCGGCUAACUCCGGGCCAGCAGCCGCGGUAAUACGGGGGGGGCGAGCGUUAAUUGGAUUUUCGGGGUGUAAAGCGCUCGUCGGCGGUAUGUUAAGUCAAGGGUGAAAUCCUCGGGCUCAACGUGGGAACUGACGUUGAAACUGGGAAACUGGAGUGUGAGAGAGGAUAGUGGAAUUCGAGGUGUAGGAGUGA
rnacentral:rRNA from 1 species